AACGAACGCUGGCGGCAGGCUUAACACAUGCAAGUCGAACGCCCCGCAAGGGGAGUGGCAGACGGGUGAGUAACGCGUGGGAAUCUACCCAGUUCUACGGAACAACAGUUGGAAACGACUGCCAAUACCGUAUACGCCCUACGGGGGAAAGAUUUAUCGGAAUUGGAUGAGCCCGCGUAAGAUUAGCUAGUUGGUGGGGUAAUGGCCUACCAAGGCGACGAUCUUUAGCUGGUCUGAGAGGAUGAUCAGCCACACUGGGACUGAGACACGGCCCAGACUCCUACGGGAGGCAGCAGUGGGGAAUAUUGGACAAUGGGCGCAAGCCUGAUCCAGCCAUGCCGCGUGAGUGAUGAAGGCCUUAGGGUUGUAAAGCUCUUUCACCGAUGAAGAUAAUGACGGUAGUCGGAGAAGAAGCCCCGGCUAACUUCGUG
rnacentral:rRNA from 1 species